GAUGAACGCUGGCUGUGUGCCUAAUACAUGCAUGUCGAGCGAAGCACUUUUGUGCUUAGCGGCGAAUGGGUGAGUAACACGUACUUAACCUACCCUCAAGAUUGGGACAACACUUGGAAACGAGUGCUAAUACCAAAUACGUAUUUUUAUCGCAUGAUAGAUAUAUAAAAGGAGCUUCGGCUUCACUAGAGGAUGGGAGUGCGCUACAUUAGUUAGUUGGUAGGGUAAUGGCCUACCAAGACUAUGAUGUAUAGCGGGGCCGAGAGGCUGAUCCGCCACACUGGGACUGAGAUACGGCCCAGACUCCUACGGGAGGCAGCAGUAGGGAAUUUUCCACAAUGAACGAAAGUUUGAUGGAGCGACACAGCGUGCAGGAUGAAGGUCUUCGGAUUGUAAACUGCUGUUAUAAGAGAAGAAAAACCCUGGUAGGUAAUGACCAGGACUUGACGGUACCUUAUCAGAAAGCGACGGCUAACUAUGUGCCAGCAGCCGCGGUAAUACAUAGGUCGCAAGCGUUAUCCGGAAUUAUUGGGCGUAAAGAGUUCGUAGGUGGUUUUGUAAGUCUGAAGUUAAAUACCGGGGCUCAACCCCGGCCCGCUUUGGAUACUGCAAAACUAGAGUAAUAGAGAGGUUAGUGGAACUCCAAGUGAAGCGGUGGAAUGCGUAGAUAUUUGGAAGAACACCAAUGGCGAAGGCAACUAACUGGAUAUUAACUGACACUGAGGAACGAAAGCGUGGGUAGCAAACAGG
rnacentral:rRNA from 1 species